CAACGACACAGUUUAUCACAAUAAACACACAACCACAACUACAACACCAACAGUCUGAUCUGAAAAGAACACAAUGAUCAUAUUCUUCUGUUUCAUGUUGAAGGUGUUACUAGUUUCAGGUUCUUCCUUCAGUGACAGCGUUCACCAGAAUCCAUCUGACAUCUACAACAAACCAGGGGAAUCCACCAACAUCACCUGUUCACACAGCAUCGACAACUACGACCGAAUCCUGUGGUAUAAACAACUAAAAGACGGGAAACUACAAUUUCUCGGACACGUUUAUAAAAAUUUUCCUAACCCUGAGGCUGGGAUGGGUGUGCAGAUGUCAGGAACUGCAGAUAUAAAGAAAACCUGCACAUUAACCAUCGAAGAACUCAGCCUGAGCAGCAGUGCAGUUUACUUCUGUGCUGCCAGUCAACACAGUGAUGUGAACUGCUGUGUCUCUAGUUCAUACCCUGCACCUGUACUAACCCCAUCACAGAUUAAAGACUGGAUCCUUAUGUGGCAGUAUAUCUGUACUGAGCAGCAGGAGGAUGAUGCAUGA